rnacentral:rRNA from 1 species
AUGUCGACGGCGUCGGCGCGCGCGGAGGAGGGGCCGACGGCGCAGAGGAAGUCCUCCCCGCCGGCCAGCGCGGAGAAGGGGUGCGUGGAGGGGUACGUCUCCUGGCGCUGGUGGUCGCCGCCGGCCGCCGUGCAGUUGAGGUCAAGCAGCGCCGGCGACGCCGCGGACGGCAGCAGCCCGCACACUAUGGUCGUCUCCUCGGCCUUGGCCAUGGCGAACGUGGAGAGCGUGGACGCCGCGCCCGGCCGCAGCAGCAGCAGCAGCAGCGGCACCACGAGCAAGGCGAGGAAGAGCCGAGGCGGCCGCAUCGCGCGCGUGCGGGGGAGGAGCGGUGGAGCGGAGUAG